rnacentral:tRNA from 1 species
GCCCCUAUGGCGUAAUGGUUAACGCGUCUGACUGUAAGUCUGAUAUAAAAGGUUUAACGUUCGAGUCAAAUACUAAUUGAAAUAAUAGUCUAAAAAGAAUAUCAGAAGAUUGCAAGUUCGAGUCUUGCUAGGGGCU